GAUGAACGCUGGCGGCGUGCCUAAUACAUGCAAGUCGAGCGAACAGACGAGGAGCUUGCUCCUCUGACGUUAGCGGCGGACGGGUGAGUAACACGUGGAUAACCUCCCUAUAAGACUGGGAUAACUUCGGGAAACCGGAGCUAAUACCGGAUAAUAUAUUGAACCGCAUGGUUCAAUAGUGAAAGACGGUUUUGCUGUCACUUAUAGAUGGAUCCGCGCCGCAUUAGCUAGUUGGUAAGGUAACGGCUUACCAAGGCAACGAUGCGUAGCCGACCUGAGAGGGUGAUCGGCAGCCGUGGAGCGGAGACGCGGUCCAGACUCCUACGGGAGGCAGCAGUCGGGAAUCUUCCGCAGUGGGCGGAAGCCUGACGUGGCAACGCCGCGUAAGGGAUGUGGGUCUUCGGAGCGUAAAACUCUGUUAUUAGGGAAGAACAAAUGUGUAAGUAACUAUGCACGUCUUGACGGUACCUAAUCAGAAAGCCACGGCUAACUACGUG
rnacentral:rRNA from 1 species